UGCCCCUCCGCCCCUUGCACCAGUCUGCAGGAGGCUGUUCCGAGGCUAAGCGAGAAUAAUGUGAACGCGUCGUUAUUUCGGUAGCUCAGGGGGGCGAUCUGUCCCCUUCCAGACAAAAUGGGAAGAACCCGAUCCGGCAGACUUCAGCAUUUAGUGGGCCAAUUUGGUUGCAGUGGGACUGCUCGUGCUGUUCAAGUUGAGCAUGUGCCGGAGUGUCUUCAGGAGUCAGACCACUGUGUGUAAAGUUCCUCUCAAAUGAUCCAGGAAGAGGUGAGGUAAAGGACAGUGCCCUAGAGUUGUGUGAGUCCCACUUUAGCACAGAGGAGAAGAGACCUAUCUGUGGGGGGCCUUUUCUCACAUAGAUCUACACAAGGAAAGAAGACUGCUGGAAACUCCUUAGAACAAAAAGGCUGAACUAGGGGAGAAGGACUGAACCCAAGCUAGAGGGCUGUCUUGCCUGUGAAAGGAAUACCUGGAGUUUUAAGCUGAAAACAAGUGAAGCUUCCCUCCAGAAUCUCUACAAUCUGCCUAAAACACCAUUUAGGUGCAGAAUAUGCAAUAAUGAUCUGCUGUGCAGACUGAAGACAGAAUUUUCCUCUCAAACAUUGCAAUCUAAUCUGUGCUGAAGUCUCCAGAGGGAUGCAAGAGAUGGCCUGGGAACAGGUAACACUUGAGUGAUGGAGGAAGUGGGGAAUUUGGGGAGAUGGGGAGAGAAAUGGGGUACUGGGAUAUUAAUGGAGGGAAAGGGUCCCCCAAAAUGGAGGGACAUAGGAAGAAGUGGCAGCCUGUAACUUCCACCCGGAGGAGAGCCAAAGAAGAGGAAAGGUCCAUUGUCCCUCACCAAACUGUUCUCUAUGAACAUGAUGGACCCAGAGAGCAUAGCAGGAAACAGGAGUGUCUGCACAGGGGAAUGUAAGGGAUUGAGGAAAAAAAUUGUGUGUUUAUGAGGGGACCAUUGGAGGAAAUGUGGAAGUCUGGUGCUGGUGGAAACUAUUAUACUCUGCUGCUGCAGGGUGCUUUGCCUUGUAGUGACAUGUUGAGAGGAAAAAAAUGAAAAGAGUCUAGUGUCUUUAAUCAUCAGUUUAAUCUGUUUUGAGAGUACAAACACUAUUACGCACUAAUCAUAGUUAUAUGGUUAUUUUGCAUGGUGUCACUACAUGGCAGAUUUAAGGCUGUUUGAGUGCCUUAACUGUGCUUUCUGUUAAGUGUAACCUAAACUCUGAAUUUCCAUGGGCUUUAAUGCUUGUUUGUGGGAUAAUUGCAACAUCCCUGUCAAGUUUUUACCCUCAAUUUACUGAUCUGUACUGAACCUUAACUCCACUUUAACACAGUUUUUAUUUGGAAAUUAAUAUUAGUCUCAUCCGCUGUAGUGGCUGCUGGCACAAUGAUUGCAAACAAGGGGUUUUAAGCUGGGAAUCUGUGUCUCCUGAUGUCCAGGUGAAAAGAGAAAAACCUGCUUAUAAUAAAACUACAGAGACAAAAGUAUCAAUUGGAAUACUACCAAUAUCAUGUGUGUACAGCAGAUGGUUAAACAGUAGUACAAGGUUAAAGUCUGAUAAUUCUGUUUUAUGAUUAGCUAUUUGUCUGCCACCUCUUUGAUGUGAAAGUGGUACAGCGAGUACUCAAUAAUUUACAUACUGUACUAUAUAUCCAAAUAUAAAUGAUACAUUAGUCUUCAAUUUAGCCCUAUUUCAAUUGAUUACCAUAUCUUCCAUUUGCCAUGUUUAUCAGCACUGUAAAUAUUUAUAACUUUUGCUGAGUUUGAGGAUUUGUUGUACCAAGCAACACAUCAGUCAAGUAGCUGAGUUACACUUUCCUGAUUUAUAAUUGAUAUUUUAAUGUCUAUCAUUUGACCUCUGUCAUAGUAUUAUUUAAUUUGUUUUUCCAAUAUUGAUCUUCAAGCUGGAAUUGGAACAUAUGAGGCCAAACCUAAGAUAAGGGAGAAUGAUUUAUUUUCCAUUUUGCUUUUAUUUUUUGAAAAAUAAUGUAUAUUAUGAAAGGGAAAAUCCAGUGUCAUUUGUUUUAGCAACUGAAAGUGACUGCUGAAUAAUUGGGCAGGAGGGGUUGAAUCCCCUCUAUACUGGAGGCAUUCUUCACCCAUGUGCGAGGACCAGAAACAGUCAGCUACAUAAAGGAGUAGCAGCAAAGGAGAUCACCUAGGGUUUCCAAUCCUCCAGGAUUGUCCUAGAGUCUCCAGGAAUUAAAGAUUAAUCUUUAAUUAAAGGUUACGUCAUGUGAUGAAACCUCCAGGAAUACGUCCAAUCAAAAUUGGCAACCCUAUUAUCAUCCCUGUGACACAGAGAUCUUCACAGCACCACCGAUGAUGGAAGUGGGAUUGUGGUUGAGCAGGCAGCCUGUCUGAUGGUUGGGCAGGCAGCCUGGCUGAUAGUGACUAGGGUCUCUGUCAUGCUGCCCCAGCGAUUUUCCUCACAGAGAAAAGCCCUUUUCCAUGCUCCUUCCCCAGGAUUAAGCCUUAGAUAAUGGGAAUUUUCAUGACUGAGAACUUCCUUUGCGGAUUGUUUUAUGUAUGUAUGCCAUCUAUUACCUUCCAUCUGUGCAUGUGGACUGAGAACCAGAUAUGGCACAAGAGAGCAUGGUGACCUCAGAAAAGUGGUUCCCCUAUUUCUCACCUCAGCUUCCACUCUCAGAGUCCAAAUUCUUUCUGCUCACAGUCAUUUAUCUUAUCUGCUUCCUGGCUUUCUCCUCAGUCACAACCCAUCCUUUUUCUUCCUUACAAAACCUUUCUUUACCUCCAGGCCUUGUAAUUAGACCAGAGGCAGUUGAGAGUGGUUGCAGGGCCUGAUAGGUUUAAAGUACCAAACACUUCUCCUAAUUAAACACACUGAACCAGGUUCAUUGCUUUGAAGUAGUGGAAUUACAUCAAUGAUUAAUUUGGUCCUAGCAAGGUACAGAAGGUGAGGGGAUGGGGGUCGGGGACUCUCUACUUACUUUCUGGUUUUAUUGAAAAUCUCUUCAGGAAAAUUAUUGAAGUUGGGGCAAUUAUGAAUAUCAGAUUAAUUGAAUAGGGAAACCACAGAACAGAUGCAAUUUUCUGUACUGAUGGUUUUCUAUUUAAGGGAUAUGCAACCUUUUGUGGAUUGGGUUCACUCAAUUGAUUUUUUUUGUAGAUUAAGCUAAUAGAUGGUAGCAUAACUAAAAAGUGUGAUGGCUAUCUACAUUGCAUAUAGAUCUUCUGGCUUUUACCCUAUCCACAAUGCUUAUUACCAUUUGCUCUGGUAAAAGAAAAGAAGAUUGAACAUAAAAAGCUGAAGGUCAUCCAUACAGUUGUCCCAAUAGCAAUCUGUGUGACUUUAACCCUGUUGAAGAAAAGUAAUUAACCUUUGGCUUCUGAUGACCUCAACUAACCUUUGUUGAAGGGCCAGAGAAAAUAAAGGCUGACCAACAGCCUGCCCUUACUGCCCUGUGGUUAACCUGUCCUGUGAAUGAAGAACACCCCCAACAAUAGAAUGUGAAAAUGUUGCCAUGGAAAUAUUGUUGGAAGAAGAAACAAAAAUUUAUUACAAUUAAUAGUGGUUUAUAGGAUGACUCCCAUAGAACUAUUUAAUCCAUGAAAGUUGCUCUAUUUUAAGAUCUGGGGUCAAAAAAUUGAGCAGGAGUAAAAGAAAGAGGGAGGGUUUGCCUCUUUAAACAUUUGAGGGCUGUUGACAGAGCAGGGAUGGUUUGCGCAAAAUAAAAGAAUCAGUUAUAGUUGCACCAUAUAAACAUGGAAAAUGAAAACACAGAAUAACUACAAUAUAGUAACUAUGAAUGAUUGGCACUGACUAUCCAAUUGGCCAGGAAGUAUAAUGGUAUACAUGCAUUUUGCUUUUGUUUUUUGGCAAGUUAUAAGUGCCAUGUAUCUUUUAAUAUUGUUCACACUGUGGUCUUUGCUCAGAGCACACUUGGAUUAUUUGGAAAAUGUAGGUAAUAUUUGUAUAUUUGGGACUUUCAAAAUUGGGUAGUACAAAUACUUUACUUUGCUUUUCUUUUUUUUUAAAUACUCAUACAUAACAUUAAAUAAAAUACAGUUCUGUUAAAUGCACUGGUUUAUCUAUGUUUGUUUUGGGCCUGAUCUUGUGCUACUCAGCUCCCCAGCUCCCCAACUCUAUUAGAUUCAAUGGGAGCUGACAAUGCAGAGCACUUUGCAGGAAGAGCUCAGCACAUGCUAGGAUUGGGCUGUGCCUGAAUAAGACAUUCUGUUAAAACAAAAAUUACGAUGAUUAUUUAACUGUUUGUACAAUGGCUAAAAAUAUGGUAGGCAUUUAAAAGAAAAACUACAGUUCUAGCUAUCUGUAAUAUUCCUCAUACUGUAUGAUACUAGA